UGGGAUGCCCGAGAUAUGCCUCCUCUUCUAUCAUCCACGUGGUUUGUGCAGACCUGGCUACUGGUUUCUCUCCCGUGUUCCCUCUACCCCUCCUAGACAGCUCUCAGGAAGAACCUAACAACCAUCUCCUUACACCCAGAUAUAUUCAAAUAGAGACGACUGUAGCUCCUCUCCCAGACUUAGUUUAAGGCCCCUCUCUAUGCCAUUUUCACCGUUAGUGCUAGUGAUAUUGCUAAGUCGCUUCAGUCAUGUCUGACUCUUUGCGACCCUGUGGACCAGAGCCUGCUAGGCUCCUCAGUCCAUGGGAUUCUCCAGGCAAUACUGCAGUGGGUUGGCAUUUCCUUCUCCAGCGGAUCUUCCCAACUCAGGGAUCGAACCUGCAUCUCUUCUGUCUCCUGCAUUGCCAGGCAGGUUCUUUACUACCAGCGCCACCUGGGAAGUCCAAUAUAUUCACUGUUGGCUCCUGUUAAGGGGACUGGAAUCCAGCUGGCAAGGAGACUGUUUGCUGAGGACCAGGUUGCUCUCAGUUCUGAACUCAUGCCCAGUGGCUGGUUACUCCGCUACAACAAAGACCAGCCCCAAGAAGGAGGCUGUUUUCCUAGGCCUUCAUCGUUCCAACAUGGCGGCUGCAUCGGCUUGUUCACAAGGGCCCUCUCAUUCCAAGCUUCUGGUCCUAAUCCGCACAAUGUCUGACACCUGGUAGGCCUUCACCUAAUGGGAGCUUCGUUGAUGGAUGGAUUCACCAUCAUACAGCUUCGUCACCAGAACUGAAGGACCCUAGUCCCUGUGGGCCUUUCCAACCACAGGGUUUGGCAUAUAGCCUGGGGCUGCCUCGCCAUCAUUUUUCACUGCCCUCCUCAAAGGCCCAUCAGGGGUUUUGGACCCCUACGUGCAGCUGACCCCUGGGCCUCUCCAUCCGAAGCAUCCACACUCUCAUCAGAUGCGGCAUGCUUGGCUGUCGAUACCGUCUUCCCAGGGAGCUUGGGUUCAAUCCCUGAUUGGGUAAAUAAGAUCCCAUAUGCCUUGGGGAAAAUGAGCCCACGAGCUGCCAACUACAGAGCCAGUGCACUCUGGAGCCCUCCGGCCACAGCUGGAGAGAAGCCCGCAUGCCACAUGAAGAUCCUAUGAGCUACAUCUAAGAGUUG
ensembl:lncRNA